rnacentral:rRNA from 1 species
ACUUAAAUUGAAGAGUUUGAUCAUGGCUCAGAUUGAACGCUGGCGGCAGGCCUAACACAUGCAAGUCGAGCGGUAGCACAGAGAGCUUGCUCUCGGGUGACGAGCGGCGGACGGGUGAGUAAUGUCUGGGAAACUGCCUGAUGGAGGGGGAUAACUACUGGAAAC